rnacentral:rRNA from 1 species
AUCUCUGUAGAGUCUGCAUAUCAAUAAGCGGAGGAAAAGAAACUAACUAGGAUUCCCUUAGUAACGGCGAGUGAAGCGGGGAGAGCUCAAAUUUGAAAUCUUCAAGGUUUUACCUUGACGAAUUGUAGUUUAAAGAAGUGUUUUCUGUUGGAAUUUUCGGUAAAAGUUCUUUGGAAAUAGGACAUCAAUAGAGGGUGAGAAUCCCGUAUUUGACCAUUAUUUUCAGCUGUGUGAUACACUUUCAAAGAGUCGGAUUGUUUGGGAAUGCAGUCCAAAAUGGGUGGUAAAUUUCAUCUAAAGCUAAAUAUUGGCGAGAGACCGAUAGCGAACAAGUACCGUGAGGGAAAGAUGAAAAGAACUUUGAAAAGAGAGUUAAACAGUACGUGAAAUUGUCAAAAGGGAAGCGUUUGACACCAGUGUUGUUUUCUCGAAAAUCAAUUAAAAAUGCUUGAUUUUGUGUUGUAUUGACCUUAUAAGCUUUCUGCACUUUUUCUAUGUCUUUUUUAAUGCACUUUUCGUUUAACAAGUCAACAUCAAUUUCUUUUGUUGUAAAAAGGGUCAUUGGAAGGUGGCUUUCUUUUCGGAGAAAGUGUUUAUAGCCUUUGACUCCUGCAAUCGGAGAGACUGAGGUCUGCAGCGUAGAUCCUUCUUGGAUUAGAUUCAUUUGUGCUAAGUUAUAGCUUUUCAUAGACAACUUGUUGACUAUGUUUAGUCUUGUAGCUUACUCGCUUAUGUAAUUUUACCUACGCUUAGGAUGUUGAUCUCUCACAGUCGAGC